AGAUUCUUCUUGCCCUUCUGUUUCUUUUAGCAGAGAUUAAAUUGCAUAAACACUUUUGGAUAUAUGUUACAGUCCUCUUUGAACAACAUCAAUAGGACAGGGUGGAUCCUUAAUUCAGAGGUCUAAAAAAAAAAACACACUCACUCACACUCUCUCUCUCUCUCUCUCUUGUAUUUGACAGGUAAAUAAAUUGUUUGUAUUGUUGCAGGUACAUAUUAUAAUGGAGUCUUGGGAGAUUCAUUAUGGGUCAUUUCACAAAGGAACAAGUAAAAAUAGUGAAAUUGUAUUUUUAAAAUGGCAGGUCCGUUAUGACGUAAGGAGAAAAUGUGGUUUAUUCAGGAUGGGACUACUGCCCAUACAGCCAGGACCACAAUGAACCUCCUCCCACCAUCAUUGGUCGGCGAUCAGAUUUAAUAAAAAAAAAAAAAAGAAAUCCCGGAUUAAUUGGCCACCAAAUUUGCCCGACCUUUUAACUCCCGAUUACUUCCUGAGGGGAUAUCUUGACGAGCCGGUGUAUGUGAACAAACCGCAUACACUUGCGCACCCUAAGGAGAAUAUCCAUGCAG